UACAGAGGUCUCAAGCGUUGUUCGGAUUCAUUGGGCGUAAAGGGUGUGUAGGUGGCGCCGUAAGUCGGGUGUGAAAUUUCGGAGCUUAACUCCGAAACUGCAUUCGAUACUGCGGUGCUUGAGGACUGGAGAGGAGACUGGAAUUUACGGUGUAGCAGUGAAAUGCGUAGAUAUCGUAAGGAAGACCAGUGGCGAAGGCGGGCCUCUGGACAGUUCCUGACACUGAGACACGAAGGCCAGGGGAGCAAACGGG
rnacentral:rRNA from 1 species